rnacentral:rRNA from 1 species
UCGCUAGUAAUCGCGGAUCAGCAUGCCGCGGUGAAUACGUUCCCGGGCCUUGUACACACCGCCCGUCACACCACGAGAGUUGGCAACACCCGAAGUCGUUGAGGUAACCUUUUUGGAGCCAGCCGCCGAAGGUGGGGCUAAUGAUUGGGGUGAAGUCGUAACAAGGUAGCCGUAUCGGAAGGUGCGGCUGG